rnacentral:tRNA from 1 species
GGUGUAACUCAGUGGUAGAGCAUUUGCCUAGCAUGUGUGAGACCCUGGGUUCAAUCCUCAGAACACCA